AUUAACGGAACGGUGUUAUUUAGGUCAGCUAAAAUCCGAAUUUAUACGGAAUGUUAAUCCAGAUUACACAAUUUUACCCAAAGAGAAAACUUGUUAGGAUUCCAUUAUAACUGCGAUUAUUUCGACCGCAACUGUACUCGGAUGCAUGUAUGUAUGUACAUAUGUCUAGUAAGCUACGUGUACGUGUGAUUGUCGGCGAGCUUUUGCGUGCAGGUUUUGUACAAUUCAUACAUACAUACAUAUAUGCAUGCACAUAUGUGUGUAAGAUUGAUUGUGUGCGGCUUCAAUAUAUGUAAAUACAUACAUAUGUGUGUAUAUAUGUAAGUAUGUAUGUACAAUACAUAUUGGAUAUUUUGCUUUACUCGUCAGCGGGUGGAGUGCGUUGUAGUAGUGGAGAGGAGUGCAGUGUAGUGUAGUGGAAUGGAGUUCGUAUUUGUGCGGAGCUCUGCAUGAACUAAUCAACACUUUGACAAUGGAUACAUAGCUAAAGAAUGAAAUCGUAGCUUCGGCGUGUAACUCUUCUCAGAUAAUUCAUAUUUCAGUUAUCUAACAUACAUAAGUAUAUUCAUAGCACAGGCUACCAGUGAUUCUGCUGCAGGUUUGCACAGUACGGUAAAUCUAAGUACCAAAGACUAUACCUAAAAUUCGUGUUUGUAUUUUGAAACGAUUAGGAGCUUAGGGAACUAUCUUGUAGUACCGAAUCUUGUCAAAAGACCCUCUUUUAUAUAAAUAUUCGUUCGCCCAUGCUAAGAGAAAAAAAACGUAGUCUGCACACUCGAAAAAUUGUCACUAAUGUAUGAAUGGUCUCUUCUGAAUACACACAAACAAAAAUUAAAAAAUUUUGAUAAUUGGGCAACGAUUUUAUUUUAAAUAUGUACAAAUGGUGAAUGUCUUCAAUUCUGUAAUUCUGUUAAGACCAACUAAAAAGGACCAUUUUGAUGUUCUAAUAAAUCUUCAUAAAAUUUAAUUUUCCUUCAAAAUUUUUUUAAUGGAAUUGCGCAAAUACCACAUCUAUUCUUUAAAAACGUAUUAUGCAGUAUGCAUAUCUUAGAAAAGCAUAUUAACAUUAGAAAUGUCAGUGUGGGCCUGUCCCAAAAAGGAAGUUUGAUUUUUUGUAAUAUUAGAUACGAGCAUAUGUGUGUACAUAUGGAUGUGUAAGUAUGUAUGAUGGUAGGCCGAUGCUGAAAAUUCAUGUAUAUAAAAUGUACAUCAACAAUUUAGAAUCACAGUAGGUUCUUGUUUUGGCGCAUCAGAACUUUAAUUGAUAAUCUGAUUAUGAACAUUUAAUUUUUCCCGGAACGAAGCUAAUUUCAGAACGAGCAUAUCUUGUUUCUAAUUGAACUCUUAAUGUAACAGAAUACAAAUUUGAAAUGUUCGUUUGUAAUCAUAGUGACGUGAAAAUAUUCGGUAGGAUUGGAUCCAUGCAUGGCUCUAAUUUGGACCAUUUAAACAGAUCACUGAAAAAUAUAAAAAAAUAUUUGCAUACAUAUGCAUGAAAAUGAGUACACUCGUUCUGUGCCAAAAAAUGUCGUUUCCUGUGCGUUCAUGCAGAGCACAUUAUCGCAAAAAUAUUUACAUGUGUAUGUGUUUAUAUUGCUAAUACAUUGGAAAAUUUAUUGGACAAAAAAAGUGUAUGAAUCAAAUGAUAGAUAUAAAUAUGCAUACAUACUAUAUGUUUGUAUGCAUAAACCUCAGAUGAAUAAAUGAUAUAUAAAGUAAUUAGUAUUUCUCGAAAACUAAAACUCGACAAUGGAACUUGAUUUUUUUUUAUAAAAUAAGUAAGUAGUUAGUUUUGUUAAUUUGAAUAUAUAAACAUUACCCAUUCACUCAUUUCAUGCGUAUCUGGAUUUCUAUGAUGAUAAUUGAGGAUAAGUAUGGUUGACACAACUGAUGAGGCCACCAUAAACAUAAUGCAAUUGAAAUAAGUUCCUAGAAGGACACAAAAAUUACACAAACAUUGUGGUAAUUGUUCGAUUCGCUUUGUGAUUUUUCUUCUUUUUUUCUUAGCCUAGUCCCCAAUCGAUAUCGAUGACUGGAGGAUAACGGACUGUUCCUCCAUUGCUUCCUAACCGCACCUGCUGAUGCAUGUAUGUAUGUACAUAUGUACAUAUGUAGUACAGUAAUGCAUACACGGUUUCAACAAAAAUGAAGCACCCUCUUCUAUCGUCCGGUAUAUGUAAGGUUAUGGUAUAAAUUAAUUUUCAUAAUUAUGUAUAUUUUAGUUUAUUGUAAAAUUUGAAAGACACUGAAGUAAUAUAGUUACUAAAUGGUUAGCCUUGCAUGUUCAUAUGUGUGUGUUCGCGUAAUUGUGUGUAUACUCGGAUUGUGUCUCAGUUUUUAAGAAAGUCCACUUGAGUGUGUUUUUGAGGAGGGUAGAAAAAAGGUAAGAAAAGGGUGCAAUUCUGUUUUCUUGUUAUAAAAGAGCACGAGUAUAAGAGAAAGA